UACGGAGGGUGCAAGCAUUGUUCGGAUUUAUUGGGCGUAAAGCGCGUGUAGGCGGUCUUUUAAGUCUGAUGUGAAAGCCCUGGGCUCAACCCAGGAAGUGCAUUGGAUACUGGGAGACUUGAAUACGGGAGAAGGUAGUGGAAUUCCUAGUGUAGGAGUGAAAUCCGUAGAUAUUAGGAGGAACACCGGUGGCGAAGGCGGCUACCUGGACCGAUAUUGACGCUGAGACGCGAAAGCGUGGGGAGCAAACAGG
rnacentral:rRNA from 1 species